CACCGGCGGCUCGAGUGGUGGCCACUUUUAUUGGGUCUAAAGCGGCCGUAGCCGGCUUGGCAAGUCCCCUGGGAAAUCUGGCGGCUUAACCGUCAGGCGUCCAGAGGAUACUGCCAGGCUUGGGACCGGGAGAGGUGAGAGGUACCUCAGGGGUAGGGGUGAAAUCUUGUGAUCCCUGAGGGACCACCAGUGGCGAAGGCGUCUCACUAGAACGGGUCCGACGGUCAGGGACGAAAGCUGGGGGCACGAACCGG
rnacentral:rRNA from 1 species